CUUCCCUGGGGUUAAAUGCCAAACAAAAAUGCCAGCUUUCCUCUGAUAAAUUUCUGGAGGUCAGUUUAGAGCCCAGUGCAGCAAAUGAUUAUCUGUGGCUGUUCCUGCUAACUGGUGCCUGUGGACUUCAAAGAAAAAAAAUCAAGAAACUGAGUAAAUGGUAUGGAAAAAACCUGGAUAUUGGAUUGAAGAUCUUAACAGUUGCUGCUCUUUGAGAAGCUAGUAAGUUAUCAGAAUGAAUAUCUGCAUUCUACUGUAAGCCCCCAAGAUUCUUCAA